GACAGAGGUGCCAAGCGUUAGGCGGAAUCACUGGGCUUAAAGCGUGUGUAGGCGGACGCGUAAGUGCCUUGUGAAAUCCCACGGCUUAACCGUGGAACUGCUGGGCAUACUGCGUUUCUUGAGCCAGUCAGGGGUCGUCGGAACAAACGGUGGAGCGGUGAAAUGCGUAGAUAUCGUUUGGAACGCCAACGGUGAAAACAGGUUGCUGGGGGUGUGCUGACGCUGAGACACGAAAGCCAGGGGAGCGAACGGG
rnacentral:rRNA from 1 species